rnacentral:rRNA from 1 species
GUCUACGGCCAUACCACCCUGAACGCGCCCGAUCUCGUCUGAUCUCGGAAGCUAGUCUGUGAUGAUCCUUAGGCAAUGCUUUGGGUGGUGAAGCUU